rnacentral:lncRNA from 1 species
GCUGGUAUGUGGCCAGGAGGGGCUGCGAGCACUUUGAAAGAAAGCCCUGGACUUCAAUGUAAGCGUGACAAAUUGGAGAAAUGCUGGGUAGGAAGCAAUUCUGUAAGUGCAAAGUCAGAUGAGCAUGUGUCAGCAACACUUUGUGCAGAGGGUCCAGUUACAGGAGUCAUCUGUGCUGAGGUCAACUUACAGGAGCUGUCUGCACUGCCUCCUCUUCCUCUCAAUAUCUGGAGAGCUGCUGGCUCUGCUGCCCUGCUGAGGCUGCAUUGCAGGAGGGUGUCCCUCAAACCACCAUACAACGUGGACCCAAGCUGAGGGGACAAGCAAGCCAAGGCACUGGCACAUCCCUCUGGCAUGGUCUGCAGCUCCCAGCGCCAUGUGUACUGUGCUCUCACAUUUCUAAUGCAGGACCAUUGCACAACCCCUCGAUUUUCAAGGUGAGGACUAUAUAUCGUGUCUUCUCUGCAGCUGUUUUUGUCCUGUGGCUUGCUGCAGAGCAAGCAAAUGAUGCCUUCAGAUUACAGGUGGAGCCUUUACAAGAGAAAUGGAUUGCCACGCUGCUAUUCCACAGUUCUCCUGAAUCAGAAAUUGUUUUGUGAUAGAAAUCCGAUCUAUGGCCUUCACUUUCCCAGUGCUUACCAGAUUAGAAAUACCAUAAGUCCAGGAUAAUUGUUCUGCAGCCCUGUAAUUUGAAGAAAUAAAAGAUGAAGAAUAACCUAGCUGAAACA